rnacentral:lncRNA from 1 species
CUACGGAGGAACCCCAGGGUCAAACCAAACCAAACCAAUUCUGGCCAGUUGCUUAGCGCAGUUCAAGUUACUUAGUGCGCUGGAAGCGGCAUUUCAGGCAAUCCAGCUUCUGGCUCGAACCUUCUCGGAGUAUUCCAAGGAUGGAAUACUCUCACUUGAGCGCUGCCGAGGGUGCCGCUUGAGGAAAACGUGAGUUUGUGAAGGGAACCGUGGCGGGGAAGUCUGGUUUCCGUCCUGCUGCUUUCCUUCAACUACAAGAUGGCUUCUCAAAAGGACGCAUGCAAUGCCAUUCCUCAAAGACAGUAUGUUGAUUUCACAGUGUUUUUAUAUGAACAACGUUCAAGUGUCAAAAGUAUCAAUUUCCAGGCUAGGAGCUACAAGUUAAAAGGAAAACAAAAAUGUUCCAAAGAUACAGUGUUUAUUAGCUACAUCUUGGGAAGUGCCUUUCCAGAGAGUGACAUGAAAACUUUUGCGUGACAAAGUGCACGAAGUAUCUGAAUUAUUUCAUUGGGCAAUUGUCGUGCAAAAGAAAUAGCAAAUUACCGUAGAAACAAAAUAGUAAG